GAUGAAGAACGUAGUGAAAUGCGAUACUUGGUGUGAAUUGCAGAAUCCCGUGAACCAUCGAGUCUUUGAACGCAAGUUGCGCCCGAAGCCACUAGGCCGAGGGCACGCCUGCCUGGGCGUCACACGCCGUUGCCCCCCCAUCUACUCCUUCGGGAUUGCGGGGGGGCGGAUGAUGGCCUCCUGUGCGCCUAGCCGCGCGGUUGGCAUAAAUACCAAGUCCUCGGCGACGCACGCCACGACAAUCGGUGGUUGCGAAACCUCGGUUGCCCGUCGUGUGCGUUCGUCGCGCAUCGAGGGCUCGAAAAAAUGCUCGGCUCCGGCUGGGCUUUCAACGCGACCCCAGGUCAGGCGGGGUUACCCGCUGAAUUUAAGCAUAUCAAUAAGCGGAGGA
rnacentral:misc_RNA from 1 species